GAUGAACGCUGGCGGCGUGCCUAAUACAUGCAAGUCGAGCGAAGCGGGCACGAGUGCGUCACGCGUGGGUAACCGCCUAUACGAAUGGGAUAACUUCGGGAAACCGGAGCUAAACCCGAUACUCAUAUGUGGAUCCUUGCUGCAGUCGCUAGGUGGUCAGGUAACGGCUUACAAAGGCAACGCUGCAUAGACGACCGGAGAGGGUGAUCUGCCACACGGGAACUGAGACACGGUCCAGACUCCUACGGGAGGCAGCAGUAGGGAAUCGUCCGCAAUGGGCGAAAGCCUUACGGAGCAACGCCGGGUGAUUGAAGAAGGUCUUCGGAUCGUAAAACUCUGUUGUGAGGGAAGCGGUACCUAAUCAGAAAGCCACGGCUAACUACGGGCCAGCCGCCGCGGUAAUAC
rnacentral:rRNA from 1 species